rnacentral:rRNA from 1 species
AUUGAACGCUGGCGGCAGGCCUAACACAUGCAAGUCGAACGAGUGGCGGACGGGUGAGUAAUGUCUGGGACACUGCCUGAUGGAGGGGGAUAACUACUGGAAACGGUAGCUAAUACCGCAUCCCAUCGGAUAUGCCCAGAUGGGAUUAGCGAGUAGGUGGGGUAAAGGCGCACCUAGGCGACGAUCCCUAGCUGGUCUGAGAGGAUGAACAGCCACACGGGAACUGAGACACGGUCCAGACUCCUACGGUAGGCAGCAGUGGGGAAUAUUGCACAAUGGGCGCAAGACGGAUGCAGCCAUGCCGCGUGUAUGAAGAAGGCCUUCGGGUUGUAAAGUACUUUCAGCGGGGAGGCGUUACCCGCAGAAGAAGCACCGGCUAACUCCGUGCCAGCAGCCGCGGUAAUUC